rnacentral:rRNA from 1 species
UAGGGAAUCUUCGGCAAUGGACGAAAGUCUGACCGAGCAACGCCGCGUGAGUGAAGAAGGUUUUCGGAUCGUAAAACUCUGUUGUUAGAGAAGAACAAGGACGUUAGUAACUGAACGUCCCCUGACGGUAUCUAACCAGAAAGCCACGGCUAACUACGUGCCAGCAGCCGCGGUAAUACGUAGGUGGCAAGCGUUGUCCGGAUUUAUUGGGCGUAAAGCGAGCGCAGGCGGUUUCUUAAGUCUGAUGUGAAAGCCCCCGGCUCAACCGGGGAGGGUCAUUGGAAACUGGGAGACUUGAGGGCAGAAGAGGAGAGUGGAAUUCCAUGUGUAGCGGUGAAAUGCGUAGAUAUAUGGAGGAACACCAGUGGCGAAGGCGGCUGUCUGGUCUGUAACUGACGCUGAGGCUCGAAAGCGUGGGGAGCAAACAGG